rnacentral:rRNA from 1 species
AUUGAACGCUGGCGGCAGGCCUAACACAUGCAAGUCGAGCGAGCGGCGGACGGGUGCGUAAUGUCUGGGAAACUGCCUGAUGGAGGGGGAUAACUACUGGAAACGGUAGCUAAUACCGCAUACCAUCAGAUGUGCCCAGAUGGGAUUAGCUAGUAGGUGGGGUAACGGCUCACCUAGGCGACGAUCCCUAGCUGGUCGGAGAGGAUGACCAGCCAAACUGGAACUGAGACACGUUCCAGACACCUACGGGAGGCAGCAGUGGGGAAUAUUGCACAAUGGGCGCAAGCCUGAUGCGGCCAUGCCGCGUGUGUGAAGAAGGCCUUGGGGUUGUAAAGCACUUUCAGCGGGGAGGCGUUACCCGCAGAAGAAGCACCGGCUAACUCCGUGCCAGCCGCCGCGGUAAUUC